CCGUUGAAGAACAUGAAGAUGUAGUACUGGAGUUCCUGCAGUACUACUCAUCUUGGUUUCGACGAAAGCAGUUGCUUGGAUGCUUAAAGUGAAGCGCAUUCUGCUGCAACUGUGUCGCAAAAGGAAAGAGUUGAACACUGUAAAGGCUCAACCUGAGAGUUGAAAAGGAAAUGAAGAGUUGGAAAGACAGGCUGUUUCAAGCUGACACGAACAGUCUUGCAAUGGAGAACCUCACAGAAGCUGAAGAAGCAGUCAUUCGCUAUUGCCAAACAAAGACAUUUUCCAAAGAGAUAGCCGCACUAAGUAAAGGACAAGGGGUGAAGACGACCAGUAGCCUUUUCAAACUGAACCCAUUACUUGAACAAGGCAUCCUCAGAGUCGGAGGACGACUCAGCAGAUCAGCAUUACCUGAAGAAUCAAAGCGGCCAGCAAUCCUGGAUAAGGAUCUGCAUGUCACAAAGCUUAUUCUCAGGGAAAUACACGAGAACUUGUCUCAUUGCGGUCGCAAUCACGUACUCUCCAAAUUGAGAACAAAGUUUUGGGUUCCUGGUGCCAACUCCGCAGUGAGAAAGAUACUCGCAAAGGGCAUAGUCUGCCGACGUGCACAUGGAGUCGCAGGACAGCAACAAAUGGCUGACCUUCCUCGGGACAGAGUUCUGCCGGAUGACCCUCCGUUUACCAACACUGGAGUGGACUACUUUAGUCUGUUCGAAAUCAAACGCGGACGAAGCAUGGUAAAACGGUAUGGGGUUAUUUUCACGCGCUUAACUAUCCGUGCAAUACACUUGGAGAUGGCGGCCUCAUUGGACACGGAUUCCUUUAUUCACGCUUUACGUCGCUUCAUAGCAAGACGAGGCCAGGUAAAGAUCCUUCGUUCGGAUAAUGGAACGAAUUUCAUCGGUGCGGAGCGCGAACUCAAAAGAGCCAUCGAGGAAUGGAAUGUGUUCAAAAUUGAAGACCUGCUACAUCAACAAGGCAUUCAGUGGAUGUUCAACCCUCCCUCAGGAUCUCACCACGGAGGUGUGUGGGAGAGAUUAAUCAAGUCGGUGAAGAAAAUAUUGAACGCCACCUUCAAGCUACAGACAUUGGAUGAAGGCGGCCUACACACUCUUCUAUGUGAGGCAGAGGCCAUUAUCAAUAGUCGGCCAAUAACCAAAGCAUCUAGUGAUCCAAACGAUUUAGAGGUACUCACUCCCAAUCACCUCUUGCUUCUCAAGACUAAACCAUCUCUCUCCCCUGGCGUGUUCG
rnacentral:lncRNA from 1 species